rnacentral:rRNA from 1 species
AUACGUAGGUGACAAGCGUUAUCCGGAUUUACUGGGCGUAAAGGACGUGUAGGCGGUCUUGCAAGUCAGAAGUGAAAUUCCUGAGCUCAACUCGGGCGCUGCUUCUGAAACUGCAGGACUUGAGUGCUGGAGGGGAUAGCGGAAUUCCUAGUGGAGCGGUAAAAUGCGCAGAUAUUAGGAAGAACACCGGUGGCGAAGGCGGCUAUCUGGACAGUAACUGACGCUGAGGCGCGAAAGCGUGGGGAGCAAACGGGAUUAGAUCCCCUGGUAGUCCACGCCGUAAACGAUGAAUACUAGGUGUAGGGGGUAUCGACUCCCUCUGUGCCGCAGUUAACACAAUAAGUAAUCCACCUGGGGAGUACGGCCGCAAGGUUGAAACUCAAAUGAAUUGACGGGG